AUUUCCACCACCUCACAUAACCCUCACCAAAUUGUUGACCUUAUCCAACCUAUCCAGAAGCCCCAAAAACCUCAAUCUAUAAUGGUUAUUGACAUAUGUGAUGAUUUUAGCAAUGAUGAGGGUCCUUUGGAUGUUUGGACCGAUUUUAAUAAGGAGGCAGUUGUAUUGUAAGUAGAUGGUUCAGCUCCACCAAUGUCUAGUUUUCA
rnacentral:misc_RNA from 1 species